rnacentral:misc_RNA from 1 species
AACGCACAUUGCGCCCAUUGGUAUUCCGAAGGGCAUGCCUGUUCGAGCGUCAUUAUCACCCUCAAGCCUGUGCUUGGUGUUGGACGGCUUGGUCGCGUCCCGGCGCGACCCCUCCUAAAGACAAUGACGGCGGCCUGUGGUUCCCCCGGUACACUGAGCUUUUUACGAGGCACGCAUCGGACAAGGGCGCCCAGGACCCGGUCCCCCCUUCUUCGGAAGACUUCUAAGGUUGACCUCGGAUCAGGUAGGAAUACGCGCUGAACUUAA